UCCUUAUGCAACAUGAAAGUUCUGUUGUCAGUUCUCAAUGAAGCCAUCAGAUCUUCCUGACUGCUGCCUAACACAAGAGCACAGGACUCCUGUAUCAUUCCCUGAGGAUUCAGAAAUUUGAUCAAAUAGAGAUUUUCAGGAAUUGCCUUCCAAUCAAUUUCCUGAGCAAAAAUCAUCACAGAAGAUUUCUGUGACCAAAUAUAUAGGGGUUUUUCUCCACCAAUAAGCAAUCAAUUCUGCAGUGGACAUCAUCUGGGAAUCCUCCAAUUCAACAUCUGACACUAUCCACCUGGAGAUAGCAUCAGAUCCCACAGGUUGAAGGCACAGUCUUCAUGACCACCUCCACUCUUCAGACACCAAUUUUAAGUCUGGGCCUCCAGAACAUCUGACCAACUGGGGUUCUCACAACCCCUCUUUGGAUUCAAUUAAUUUCCUGGAGUACCUCACAGAACUCAGGGAAACAUUUAUUUGUGUUUAUUUGUUUAUUGUAAAGGAUAUUUUAUAGACUACAAAUAAAGAGCCAGAGAUACUUAGGGUGAGGUCUGGAAGGGUCUUGAGUGUAGCAGUUUCUGCCUCCAUGGAGGUAGAGUGCACCACCCUUCUUACAUAUGGAUGAGUUCUUGUUCAUCUCCCUGUAGGUCUCCCCAUGUUUAGCUCUCUGGAAGCCCCUGAAUCCCGUCCUCUCAGGCCUUAUAUGGAGACUUCAUUGGAUAGGCAUGAUUGCAUCACGGACAACCAUGUCACAAUGUGACUGGACAAAAAGGGUAUGAUUUAAACUCAGCAAAGGCCAAACUGUUCAGAUUCUUCACUCCUUUCUGUGCAGCAUUCCUUCCUCCAGGGUAUGGGGCAGGAUCUUCUCUAGAAUGAGGGUCUUAUGACCCACAAUCAGAUUAGAGUCCUGUCUUGGAAAGGUGAAAGAAAGGAGGGCAGGAGGAGGUUAGAGGGAAAGAUUCUCUUUAUUGUAACAAAGGCUAUGGGAGUUUAACCCCAGGAACUGUAGAUGAAAAUUGUCAUAUUAUGAUAAAUCAAACAAAAACUGAGUUCUUGUAAUAGCUUUGAAAUAGUCUCAAAUGCUUCUAAAUAACACUGAUAUUAUAAAAUAGGUCUAAUGGGACAUUGAAAAGCCUGGUUGUUUCUGAUGUUAGGAUUAAUAAGUAAAAACAAAAAAGAAACUGAUUGGCACCUAAAUAUAAAUAUCCUGGUCAGGAUUUAAAAAA
rnacentral:lncRNA from 1 species